AUUGCCGGAACGUUACUGAAUUUGUUCCUGUCCAAGUCCUCUCAAGUCCAGCUUACUGCAAGAACUAUAGCUGCAUAGACAACAGACAGACAGACAGACAGAUGGACAGACGGCGUGCGGGUCCCGGGGCCAGGCUGGAGGAGCCCCCGGGCCAGGGCCGCGGGGAUCAGCGAGGAUAACACCACGCUCCAUCACAGAGAACACACACCAUCUGGAAAAGGCUCAGGAGUUCAGUCUCAGCUCUUCCCUGCUUGACGUGACCGUUCGAAGUUCCGUCCUGAUUGGACGAGCCCUUGGCGUCAGUGCUCCGUGUGCCCGCCCCACUUCUGAUGGAUUUACACCUUGUGAGGUGCUGCUGUGCUCUGGGUGUUUGAGCUGAUCACAGAGGGAGAGCGGAGCGCGCCGGGCCUGCCCUGUCCCCGGGGAGACGUGCUGUUUGCCUCUGAGGAGACACCGACAUUAAAGCUAACCUCUCCGCUGCUGUUUGUGCGCGCGGCUGUUCAUUACCAGCACUCUUGAGGUGGGGAAUGGAAGGAUCCAGCACGAGAUUUCGUGGUGAAUUUGCGAGAAGAAUUGGAAAGCUGUCAGAGGACGACGAAGAAACCCGAAGAGACUGCUCUGAGUUACGCGCUCUUCAAAACUCUCUCGGAAGGAGGUGUCAGGUGACAUGUGGGUGGAACCAGGCCCAGAGCAGCAGACCCAGUCUGAGAAUACAUCCAAACCUAGGUGUGAAGUGAAUUUCAUCUCCUUUUACGAGCAAAUGUCAACCAGAAUUUACUCAAAGCUGCUGAAGUGAACGGCUCCAAGACACUAGAACUGUGAAAGUUCUCCAGGAGUGCUUCAAAGGCAACAGUUUUUUCGAUACGAGCAAACACUCGUCCAAAGGAUGGAGUCCUGUGGAAAACAGGAGAAAAGCUCUACAGCAUCAGUGUGUGACCGCGGAUGGCUGACCACUCCUAAGGACAAGAUCAAACCCCAGACCCUGUCUGACCUAAUAAUGGUCCGGAUGCCCCCACCGAUGCACCAUGGUGGUGGCUGAGCAAAGUCAGGAGACACAGCAGUUCUACCCAACUGUGUUUAUCUGUCAGGCCCCUCUUGUGAUGACAGUCUCAGUGGAGAUUUCCUGGUAAAAUAAAUGACAUUUGGUAUAAUAACUUCA